rnacentral:rRNA from 1 species
GAUGAACGCUGGCGGCGUGCCUAAUACAUGCAAGUCGAGCGAACAGACGAGGAGCUUGCCCCCCUUACGUUAGCGGCGAACGGGUGAGUAACAUGUGGAUAACCUACCUAUAAGACUGGGAUAACCUCGUGAAACCGGAACUAAUACCGGAUAAUAUAUUGAACCCCAAGGUUCAAUAGCGAAAGACGGUUUUGCUGUCACUUAUAGAUGCAUCCGCGCGGCAUUAGCUAGUUGGAAAGGUAACGCCUUACCAAGGCGACGAUUCAUAGCCGACCUGCGAGGGUGAUUGGCCCAGCGGGAACGGAGACACGGACUGAGUACCGAGGGAGGGCAGAGGUAGGGAAACUGCCGAAAUGGGCGAAAGCCUGAGGGAGCAACGCAGCGUGAGUGAUGAAGGUCUGCGGUUGGUAAAACUAUGUUCUUAGGGAAGACGAAAUGUGUAAGUAACUAUGCACGAGUUGACGGUACCGAAACAGAAAGCCACGGCAAACUACGU